rnacentral:tRNA from 1 species
GGAAAAAUAAUCUAAAAAAGAUACCAAAUUUUUAUUUUGGGUAUAGAGAAUUAUCUUUUUUCCU